UCAACCAUGACCUUCAUCUCCAUCUUCAUCUGCACACUGGCUCUCUGCACUCAAGGAUCCAGAGGUCAGGUGACUGUGACUCAGAGUCCUGCAAUAAAACAUGUAGACCCAGGAGCUUCAGUCACCAUCAACUGUAAAACCAGUGUUAGGACGAAUCUUUUUAGUUCAAGAGGUCCUGAAGAAAGCAGUCAUAGAAUCCAGAAAGCUGACCCGCCUUAUGCAGAAUUAGGAAUCACCCUCAAGGAUGGGUGCCUGCAGAUCUUGUCCAGUCCCUGCGAGGGUUCUGAAGAUGAAUUAGAAGAUGAAUAUUGGUUACACUGGUAUCAGCAGAAACCUGGAGAAACUCCUAAACUCCUGAUCUAUAAUUCUAACAGCAGAGCAUCAGGUAUUCCAGAUCGUUUCAGUGGCAGUGGAUCUGGAUCUGACUUCACUCUGACCAUCAGUAGAAUUGACACUGGAGAUGCAGGAGAUUAUUACUGUCAGAGUUACCAUAGUGGUGUCGUCACACAGUGUUAUAUGGUGGUACAAAAACCUGGUUAA